GCCUCCUCCCCGCCAGAGUGCUCAGCACCGCGCCAGGCUGCAGCCACCGCCGGCCCGCGGACGCGGGCCUUGGCAUCAUCCCCACCUGGACCCCUGCAGCGUAGCACCCCGGCUACUAGCCUCUGCACGGCCCCAGCCCGGCCGCAUGAAAACAGGGGCGGCCUGGGGUGGAAGUGUGCGAGUCCUGCAGCCGAACCGAGGGAGACAGCGACGCCCUAGUGAGGCGUGGCCCGAUCCCCAGGGCUAAGGGUCUGGUACCAUGAGGAUGCCAUAGUUAGAAGUCAGUAGCUGCUUUAAAAAUACGUCACUUUAAUUUUACUUACUCUGGUACCUCAAAAUGCUGAAGACCUCAUGGGGCCCUGUUGGAAUAUGAACGUAUGAUUCCAGCCAGUACUACAGCCUUUUCAGACCUGAAACUUAAGACAUCCUUUAUUGUUGUGUUUUCUAACAGUGCCUAGCACAAGGACCUUUAAAAACUUAAGUAUAAAGAGGUAAAUAGCAAGGUCCCCCUGAGGAGCUGUACUGGGACCUGUGCUGUUCAACAUAUUCAUAAAUGAUCUGGAAAAGGGGACAAACAGUGAGGUGGCAAAGUUUGCAGAUAACACUAAACUUCUCAUUAUUGCAAAAAGCUACAAAGGGAGCUCACAAAACUGGGUCAUGAGGCAAUAAAAUGGCAGAUGAAAUUCAAUGCUGAUAAAAAUUAUCCCAUUUAUACAUACAACAUGGUGGGUUCUAAAUUAGCUGUUACCACUCUAGAAAGUCAAACUGUGGAAUUUGUUGCCUGGGAAUGUUGUGAAGUCCAAAAGUAUAACUUGGUUCUAAAAAGAAAUAAGGAGGAUAGUGUGACACUGUAUAAAAAGGAAGUUGAUCAUCUACACUAGUAUUGUCACCACUGUUACAUAAUUGCUCUAAAUCUUGUCCAAAAUAUGCUAUGUAAGGUAUCCCCCAUGAAGUUGUGAUCUGUUGAACAGUGUUAUCUUGUUGAAAUGUAUAUUUCACCAUUGUGUAUGAAGGUAUGAAAUUUUACUCUCUGCUUAUUACUAAACAUGUGUUCCUGGGUAAUACCCACAAGACAGAUUUACAUGAAGACUAGCCAGCCAUGUGUUGAUGGUCCAUUAAGAAGAAUCAACUCUUCCAGUGGGCCUUUCCCACGGAUGCCUCAGAGAGCAUAUGGACAAUGGAUGCCCCAUGACUCAGCAGGGCAGGUAGAAUAUAUGAUACAUAGCUCCAUGUUUGAGCCAGGACUUUUCCAUGCACAUGGACUGAGGGUAUAAACUGGAAACAAUGACAUAACCUCCUUUCCUCACUACUACCCCACAUCUCUGGACUAUGAUUUCUAACAACUGGAGCUUUGAAAAAUGGACUGAGGACCCCCAUCUUUUGGGUGUACCAGAGAGACUUAUUACAAGCUAACAGAUUUAAUGUCACUGCUCUUACCCUGAUCUAGACUCUGAAAUCAACUGUAAUGUAUAUGAUUCACUUUAACCUUUUAAUAACUCUUCUUUUUUCAUAUUAAUAAACCUUUAGUUUUAAUUUACUAAA